ACCCGGCUGGCUCGGUCGGUGGAGCGUGUGACUCUUGAUCUCGGGGUUGUGAGUUUGAGCCCCACGCUGGGUG
rnacentral:tRNA from 1 species